AGUUUCCUGCUGUCGUAAGAAGCCGCGCCAGGACGCCCGCCGGACCCCGAGCUGCUGGGAGGAUGACCAUGGCUGGGGGCAGGAGGGGACUAGUGGCCCCUCAAAACACGUUUCUGGAGAAUAUUGUUCGGCGGUCCAAUGGUAAGAGGUGCAUUCGGAUUUCGAUUACCCGGGCGUUUUAUCCGUGCCUUUAUUGCAGAACCUCUCGCCGCUCGGAGCCAGCAGAUGCAGCAGAACCCGCGAGCUCUGCUAAGGAGCCGCGGCGCGGGCACCCAGGGCAGCCUCCCCGAGGCAGAGAAAGGUGGGCAGGGCGGGGCGGGGUCUGAUGGGUCCCCAUCCUAACAGGAGAGCUCUUCUGGGGACGCCUUUUGGGCCUUUCUAGCGCCCUCUCGGUCUUAUCUCCAAGGAUGCGUGACAGCUGCUGAGCAAAGUACUGGGAAAAGUGAUGGAAAGCUGGCUGCAGCCGGAGCGGCAGCGCGCGCCCCAUCGGCACUGCCCACCCUUCCGCGAAGGCUCUGGGGCUCCCGGGCUGCUCCCAGAGGCGCCGCCUCUCCCCAGGGAGAGCCAGCAGUAGAGACGGGCAACUCCAGGUCCCCGCUGCCUCAGAAUGGGAGGAUCCGGCUGCCUCCACCUUCCAUCCCUGCAACUGAAAAGUCCGAGGUGUCGGGACGUGCUCUCGGCGGCCUGAUUCCACCCCUUCACCCACCCACCACUUUCUAGGUGAAGUUAAGGCUCACCUUCGAAGUGAGGGGCAGAUGGUUUUCCUGGCGUCAGGUGGGAAGUGGAGGGCACAGGUGCAGAGCGAACUAAAUGGUCACAGAUCGACGGUAGCAUGAAGCCUUGAGAGGCGAGAGUCCUAGGAGCGGGGAUGGAAAGGAAGAAUUCCAAACGCCUUUCGGACUUAACAGAGGAGAGACCCCAACUAAGCACUUGCAGAGCGACUAGGAGUCCUGGCAGUUGGAAGGCGCAGCGCACGAGUUCAUCAAAUGGCUAUAUUGAAAGAUAGCCAAGCAUAAGAUGCUCUUUGCAGACUCCUAGAGCCCCCACCCCACCCCUUCCAGAAACAGAUGACAUUCUUCUACCAGGGAGACAUGAGGAGCUAACUUAGGAAAUGGGUUUUAAUAAUGUGUAAAUAUCACGAUUUCAGAGUCUAAGGAGCUUCUGUGUAAAAUGAUGAGCUUCUGUUUGGAUUUAGUUAGGGAUUCAGGGGAAGGGCAUGAAAAGUGACUUAUGCUACUAAUAAACACUCUUUAAUUAAACAGUGAUUUAAGUUUAUCUUAUAAUGAAACACAUCAACUAGCAUAGCAAAUAAUCACGUAUUAUUUAAGUACUUUCUUAGAAAUGAUCAUUUCUUUAUUGUGUGCCUCUUAAGAGUGUUUCUGGUCAGUCACCUUUCCUUUCAAGGUCUUCCUUAUUCAAACUAAGGUGGCUUUUAGGUCAAGGUCACAGUCAUUACCUGGGGAUGCAAGGGGAUGAUAAUUGCUAUGUGAACAGCCACAAUGAACUGUUUUGCCAUAAAAAAGCUGGAGUUGUUCAUUUAUUUUUAAAUAAAAUAAGAGUUACUGUGCU
rnacentral:lncRNA from 1 species